UACGAAGGGGGCUAGCGUUGUUCGGAGUUACUGGGCGUAAAGGGCGCGUAGGCGGCCCUCCAAGUCGGGCGUGAAAGCCCACGGCUCAACCGUGGAAUUGCGCUCGAGACUGAAGGGCUCGAGGACGGGAGAGGAUGGUGGAAUUCCCAGUGUAGAGGUGAAAUUCGUAGAUAUUGGGAAGAACACCGGUGGCGAAGGCGGCCAUCUGGACAGUUCCUGACACUGAGGCACGAAGGCCAGGGGAGCAAACGGG
rnacentral:rRNA from 1 species